rnacentral:rRNA from 1 species
ACGGAGGGUGCAAGCGUUGUUCGGAAUCACUGGGCGUAAAGGGCGCGCAGGCGGUUUGGUAAGUCAGAUGUGAAAUCCCACGGCUUAACCGUGGAAGUGCAUUUGAAACUGCCAGACUUGAGUAUCAGAGGGGAAAGCGGAAUUCCCGGUGUAGAGGUGAAAUUCGUAGAUAUCGGGAGGAAUACCGGUGGCGAAGGCGGCUUUCUGGAUUAAUACUGACGCUGAGGCGCGAAAGCGUGGGGAGCAAACAG